UUGGCCCAUGCAGAUCUGGGGGGUGUAUGCUAUGAAGGAAGUGUGAGGUGAAACAAAUCCAACGGGCCUCAGAACCUCAGGCCCAAAACAAAGUUGACAAGAGCGGGGGAAGACGCAACUUAUCUCACUCUCGUUCAAAACUUCCCCGCCUCUAAACGAACCCUAGUCGUUCAUCUUCCGCGCCAGAAAUCGCUUCUGGCAGCGGUGAAGCUUCAAUGGACCUUAACCUUACACCAAAAUGAUCGCCACUCUCUGCUCUGUUAAAUCCCCAAUCUAAUUUCAUCCAAAUCCUCAUUAGUAAACCAAAUCGAAGCCCACAGUGGAUGAACCCUAAGCGCUUUCGAACUCAAAUCGUAUGUUAAACAAGCUCAAUCCUGACUCGCAAACAUAUGUUCAUGGAAUUUCUAUGCUAGUACGAUCGUUUGGUAGAAGAACAAAAUAAGAUGGAGGAAAGAUGGAUAACCGGCCUUCGAAGCCGUUGAUUGCUCCAGUCAAUGUUGCAAGUCUUUGAAAGUGAAAAUCAAACAAGAAUUUCAGAGAUCUCCACUAAGGCAACCAAACUGAAUCCUUUCAUGCACGUGCUACACUUCUUCUACUUCUACUUGCCUUAGUCCGUAGGAAUUUCUUGUGUGCGUUGUUGUGAAUUGUAUGUGGCUUGCGUCUAGUGCAUAAUCCGAGAGCUUGAAAUUGGUGGAGAGUGAGAGAUUUUGAUGAAGAGAAAUAUGAGAUUUGAGAUGCAGAGAGAGGGAAUUGACGUACGAAUCUAUGAAGUUGUAAUGGUGGCAAGGUUCUAGGACAUGGACCGAAGUUGGCCUUGAAACAAAUGAUUCAAGAAGGCUUGAUCAAGGAACCAAACUUGGCAUAACAUGGAUCUAUAUAUAUGUUUGGAAUACUCUUGAAGAAAAUGGAGGACUACAUGGGAAAUCAAGAGAAAAGUAGGUUUAGAUGAUUGUAGCAAUAAAUUCAUGACCAUUAAGUUAUGGAUAAACUUAACGAUAAUAAAAUCAGAGUCGCCACCA